rnacentral:tRNA from 1 species
UGGCUCAGUGGUUAAGAGAGUACUGGCUGCUAUUCCAGAGGUCCUGGGUUCAAUUCCCAG